rnacentral:rRNA from 1 species
GACGAACGCUGGCGGCGUGCCUAACACAUGCAAGUCGAACGGGACCAGGGGCAACUCUGGUUCAGUGGCGGACGGGUGCGUAACACGUGAGGAACAUGACCUUCGGCGGGGGAGUAGCCGGCCCAACGGCCGGGUAAUACCGCGUACGACCAUUCGGGGACAUCCCUGAGUGGUGAAAGCAGCAAUGCGCCGAUGGAGUGCCUCGCGGCCUAUCAGCUAGUUGGUGGGGUAACGGCNCACCAAGGCAACGACGGGUAGCUGGUCUGAGAGGAUGGCCAGCCACAUUGGGACUGAGACACGGCCCAGACUCCUACGGGAGGCAGCAGGUGGGGAAUCUUGCGCAAUGGCCUAACGGCUGACGCAGCGACGCCGCGUGUGGGAUGAAGCUCUUCGGAGUGUAAACC